rnacentral:rRNA from 1 species
UACGUAGGGGGCGAGCGUUGUCCGGAUUUACUGGGCGUAAAGGGCGCGUAGGCGGCCUAGCAAGUCACUUGUGAAAUCUCCGGGCUUAACUCGGAACUGCCAAGUGAAACUGCUGGGCUAGAGUGCAGAAGGGGCAAUCGGAAUUCUUGGUGUAGCGGUGAAAUGCGUAGAUAUCAAGAGGAACACCUGAGGUGAAGACGGGUUGCUGGGCUGACACUGACGCUGAGGCGCGAAAGCCAGGGGAGCAAACGGG